GUGGACUGCACACACAUAAGGAUAAAAGCCCCCUCAGGUGCCCAUGAGGCCGAUUUUGUGAAUAGGAAAUCCUUUCACAGCAUUAAUGUUCAGAUGGUCUGCAAUGCUGACUGUGUGAUCAGCAAUGUUGUGGCAAAAUGGCCUGGCUCAGUCCAUGACUCCAGAAUCUUUCGGGCCUCUGAAAUCUAUCAGUGCCUAUCACAAGGUGAAUUCUCUGGUGUGUUGCUGGGAGACAGCCUUUUCUCCUGACACCUUUCACAGACCCCCCCCAGGAAGCACAGCAGGCCUACAACCAUGCCCAUGCCAGGACCAGGGCCAGAGUUGAAAUGACCUUUGGCCUCCUGAAGGCACGCUUUCACUGCCUUCACAAAUUAAGGGUCAACCCUGUUAGGGCAUGUGAUAUUACUGUGGCUUGUGCUGUCCUCCACAAUGUGGCCUGCCUGAGGAAGGAGAGGGCCCCCAGAGUGCCACCAGCCAUGGACUGGGACAAUCCGGCAAUCUUCCCUGAUGACGACAGUGGUCGGCUGCUGAGGGACCAAUAUGUGUUGAAUUAUUUUAGUUCGUAUGUGUGCUUUCAAUUUAGGUAAAAAAAUGUCCUGCUGUGGCAGAGGAAAUAGGGUUUUUUUUUUUUGGGUUGGUUUUUUUAGGAAUUUGGCCUCUUAUGAUGUUUGUGCGGUAUACUGUGUGUAAUACAAGGCUGCAGGGAGGCUACUGCAUCCAUUCAUUUGUCUGUUCAGUUGAUGUGUAUGGAUUUGUCCUGCAUUUAUUUUAGUGUGCAGACAUGCAGGGUGUGUUAUAUACAGACCUUUGAAUGUGUAUGUAUCAUUUUGUAUAAUAUGCUUUGAUUCUGUGCUUUCCAUCUUGUAGAGUCACUGUGACUUCAGUUUCGAAAGGAGCUGAUAGUUUACCUGAUUUGUUUUGUCCUUAUUC